UACGUAGGCAGCGAGCGUUGUCCGGAAUUAUUGGGCGUAAAGAGCUCGUAGGUGGUUUGUUACGUCUGCUGUGAAAACCUAGGGCUUAACCCUGGGCCUGCAGUGGAUACGGGCAGACUAGAGGUAGGUAGGGGAGAAUGGAAUUCCCGGUGUAGCGGUGAAAUGCGCAGAUAUCGGGAGGAACACCGGUGGCGAAGGCGGUUCUCUGGGCCUUACCUGACACUGAGGAGCGAAAGCGUGGGGAGCGAACAGG
rnacentral:rRNA from 1 species